rnacentral:misc_RNA from 1 species
GCAGAAGCAAAUAUACUUACUUAACUUAAGGGAGUUAGUACAAUCAUAGAAUUGUUGUUGAAUACCAUAUAUUCAACUUAAAAAAAAUUAAACAUAUUUAUAAAAAAAAUUCGCUUGCAACAUAUAUUGCGUCCACUAGUUGCCUGCAAAAAAAA